AAGCCAUGCAUGUCUAAGCAAAAGCCGAAAAAUGGUGAAGCCGCGAACAGCUCAUUACAACAGCCAUAGUUUAUUGGAUCUUCUAAUACUUGGAUACCUGUGGUAAUUCUAGAGCUAAUACACGCAACAAACUCUGAGCUCUGGCGAGGAGUGCAUUUAUUAGAACAAAACCAAUGGGCCUCUGCCCUUGUUUGGUGAAUCUGAAUAACUCAGUUGAUCGCAUAGUCUAGCACUGGCGACGUAUCUUUCAAGUGUCUGCCUUAUCAACUGUCGAUGGUAGUUUACAUGACUACCAUGGUUGUAACGGGUAACGGAGAAUAAGGGUUCGACUCCGGAGAGGGAGCCUGAGAAAUGGCUACCACAUCCAAGGAAGGCAGCAGGCGCGCAAAUUACCCACUCUCAGUACGAGGAGGUAGUGACGAAAAAUAACAAGACAGUUCUCUAUGAGGUCUGUCAUUGGAAUGGGUACAAUCUAAACCCUUUAACGAGGAUCUAUUGGAGGGCAAGUCUGGUGCCAGCAGCCGCGGUAAUUCCAGCUCCAAUAGCGUAUAUUAAAGUUGUUGCGGUUAAAAAGCUCGUAGUUGGAUCUAAGGUCUUGUGAGCCGGUGUUCCCGCUGGGAUCUACUGGUUGCACAGGCCUAGCCCGCUGCUUUUCCCCUGGUCCUCUUCACUGAGUGCCUUGGGUGAGCAGCAAGUUUACUUUGAAAAAAUUAGAGUGCUCAAAGCAGGCGCGAUGCCUGAAUAGUGGUGCAUGGAAUAAUGGAAUAGGACCUCGGUUCUAUUUUGUUGGUUUUCGGAGCUGGAGGUAAUGAUUAAGAGGGACAGACGGGGGCAUUCAUAUUGCUGCGUUAGAGGUGAAAUUCUUGGAUCGCAGCAAGAUGGACAACUGCGAAAGCAUUGCCAAGAAUG
rnacentral:rRNA from 1 species